ACAGCUGUCCCUCCAGAUUAAGGUAAACCAAAUGUUGCAAUCAGAGAUUAGUGUACCUUGCCAGUUAUUAACAUCCCCGGUUGCUCAGCAAGCACGUCAGACACUAAUGCUGUGUAUUUAUUUGCUACUUCCCCACUGUAACUUGAACUUCUGCACCUGUCAAUGCAUUCCAGGGAAGAGAGGGGUAUUAUUGGAAAGCAAAAGUUUUAUACCUGUUACACCUGGUUUGGUUUGUCACAGCCUAAGAUUUUCUUCUUUUCUUGCCAGGAUUGCCAGGUGGUUUAAUCCGUUACUCUGCUGGUUUUAUGAAAAAAGUCUUUGUAUGCGAAAUUGCAUUUGUUACUCUCAUCUGCUCUCUCUGCUAUCGAAGCUGAGCUACUCACCUAAACUGGGCCUUUUCUUUUCUUUCCCUUCUGUAAGGGAGUUUUUUUUUUUUCCUCCUUCUUCUUUUUGUGUAUGUAGAGGAUGCAGCACAAGGCUAGAAGAAUCAGCACCCUCUCCUGCUGUGCUCUAAUCAGUUAGUGGUGCCUCUCUCACAAGGAUCCUGACACGUGGAGCAUUGAUGAACUCAGCAUAACGUUGAAUAGGAGCUUUUUGGCAGCUGAGACACAAGGGCUAAGCUGCAGGUCAGAGAUAACACUAGUGCAGAUCUCCUCAUGCACACAGUUAGUAGCAUGCUUUCUUCCCUCCUGAGUGCAGGAAAUAGCUCAUGUUAAAUACGUUCACUUUUCAGUUUUCCUUUCUUCUAAAAUGGAGCUUGACAGAUUGGGCUUUUCAGCUCCCCCUUUUUUUCACCACCUCUGCUUUCUACCUCAGAAAUACUCUUCAGGAAGCAGGAGUUAAUCUUGGCUCAGCUCUGCCUCCUGUACCUGCGUGCAGCAGUGCCUUUCUCUGUGAAGAGUCCCAUUAAUUUCAAUGGGGCUACUCAUAGAAGAGAGCACAGAUCAGCAUGAGUAAGAGUGGAAGAACUGGGUCCUGACCCUGCAGGCUUUUCCGCAUGGGUGGAUUCCUGCACCCAUGUUUAGAGCUCUGUUGACUUCAUUGGGUCACUGUGCUGAACAGCUUGUAGGCUAAGACCUAAUACUGUGUAGCUCAAAAGCAGAUCCAUGCUAUUGAACAUUGCUUUGGAAAAAGAUCAUUUACUAUUUCAUUACUUUGAAGUAAUGCAUGAGGGUCAGUGGUUCGUACGGAAAAGUGCAGAGUGCAUUCCUGCAGUCUCCCAAAUCCUACAAUGUCUAGUGGUCCCCAUUGGGCGCACAAUACAUUAUAAUGGACAAUCCUUCUGGACCUGCUGGAAUGGACCUCUCAUGAGGGCAGAUAUGGCUUUAAAGAAGGACAAAAGAAGGAGAAAUAUCCCUCAAAUGAUGGAGAGGAAAUGGUCAUGUGAAGGCCAGCCCUACCGGAAAGCCCUGCUUUAAAAGAAGAAAUUAUUCAGACUAAAGGAGUAGUUUUCCUAAGCAACCAGAUCAAAGUGAAAACUCUCAGAAUAGCUCACUCACAGGUUUCCUUUUGCACACAGGUUCAUCAAGAGUGUCAGACACUUGGUGGGCAGUUCAUAUUCCUCUGACAAACUAAAAUUUGGUGGGAAACUUCAUAGGAACCCACGGUAUCAGUAAGCCCUGCAAAUAUCUUGGGAUCUCUCUUCUUUUUAAAAAAGACUUUAAAAAUAAUUUGGUGGAUCUCUAAUCUAGUUAUCUGCUGUAACUACAAUAUACUGUGUAUGUCUGACUCCCACAGACGAAGGCCUCUGUUUCCUUUCUGCCAGUACCUUAGUAUCUGCCUUGCCCAGGAGUCUGCUGAUGAAGACUUCCUGUUUGUUUUGAGUCACUGCUGGAGUGAUAAAUAUACUUCAGCUUUCUCCUCAGAGAGGAAAGAAACCAGCUGCCCUGAACUAAAGAGAAAAUAUGUAGAAAUUCCACCAAAGGGCCCUGUUAUCAUGGAGCCUCUAUGGAAGCAUAAAAACAAGAAAUAUAAGCUACGACAAAGGAAAUAAUUUACAUACUAAAACAUCCUUCCACAUGAAUCGACAUAUUUGUUUUCCUUUAAUCAUUUAUUUUCACUCUAUAACUCUAAUUUAAAAUGGAUUACAAAUAAAUAAAUAAAUGCAGGGGGUGGGAGAAGGGGGGAAAGAACCAACCCCAUAAACAUACACUACACAAUAAUGUUUGGCUGGAUAAACAAACAAUUAUACUUGUGGUUUCUUGAUCUGACCACAAGCUUUAAAUGACAUUUUUUUGCAUGAACCUACAAUGCUUCUGGAUAAACAAUUGUGUUUAUAUUGUCAGGAGCACCCAGUGCAGUGUUGUGUAAUUUCUGUGUGUGAUUACCAGGAUAUAGAAUAAAUUCCAAAAUAAAAGAAAGGAAAGGAAAAUGAGAUUAUUAGGUCAUUUUUAAUAAAAACAGCAUAGUUUGGAAUCACUUAUAGCUUAAUUUGUAAUUUUAAAAGAAUGCAGCAGUGGCUUUUAAGUUUCUGCAAUUAUCUUUUCAUCUCUUUUUAUCCUUUUUUUUUCUUUUUUUCUUUUUUUAAUUAGAGAUGGGACCCAAACCAAAAACCUGGAUCCAAACCCAAGAUCCAGGCUCAUAUCAGAGUUCACAGCUCUAACCUAGUUCCUGAAGAAGUCAGCUCUAAGCACUAGGAACUUCAGUUUUGAAUUUUAAACUUCCAAGUUCAGAAGCAUUUGAAUCCAGGUGUUUUGGUUCUGCCGGAUAUAGGGGUAGAAAGUUUAUAUCUUCAUCAGUUUCAGAGUAGCAGCCGUGUUUCGCUGUAGCUCAUGAAAGCUUAUGCUCAAAUAAAUUGGUUAGUCUCUAAGGUGCCACAAGUACUCCUUUUCUUUUUGCGAAUACAGACUAACACGGCUGUUUCUCUGAAACCUGACUUAGGUUUGCGAGGCUCAGGCUACAGGGCUGUUGAAUUGCGAGGAGGGAGGGUCCCAGAGCCUGGGCUCCAGCCCUACCCCAAGUGUCUGCACAACAACUAAGCAGCCCUGUAGCCUCAACCCCACAAGCCGAGUCAGCUGAAAUGCAUUUAUUUGCAGUAUAGAUGCACCCUCUGUUUCCCCUCCCACCCUUUCUCUGCCUUGUCUAUUUAGAUUCUAAGCAAUUUGCAGUAGGGACUCUGUGUUUCUACAGUGGCAAGCAUAAUAGGUCCCUGAUCUUGGUUGAGGCCUCCAGGCACUACUGUAGUACAAAUAAUGAAUAAUAACAAAUGAGAAGACAUUCCAGGGUCAGUGGGUUUGUCCAGUCAGAAUCUGCAAGGUGUACACUUCACAUUCCAGAAUCCCACAAAGUGUCCCUCUCAUGGAAGAAUCAGAAAGAAACUUUGACCUACAGAUGGUGGCAUUUUCUGCUCUCUCAUCUUUUUUUUUUUUUUUUUUUUUUUAAAGACAUGUGACCCUGGAUUGUUUGUAAGGGGGGACGGACUUGUGUGUGCAAUGUCCACAUUAUUUGGGGGAAUCAGUUUUUAUUAAAAAAAGGCACACACAAAAGCUCUGCUUUGGCUAAAUAAUAUUUGAAUUACCAUUACACGAAAGGAGAACCUUCUUUUUCUUACAUUUUUUGUACAUUUUCCCUUAAUUAUCACACGCCCUAAGUAUUGGGAAACAAUGUACACGCUCUUGUAAAGAACUGCACAUAUACAUUCCUAUAAGGUAAAAGGGUUAUGUCCUCUAUAUCACUCAGUGAAGUUAUGUGGAACAAAAAUAAUCAUUUAUAAGUGGUUUCAGUUUUACCUUUUUUAUGGUUUACCUCUACUAACUCCUAGUAAAAUAUAAUUUCUUCUGUUACAGCUGAUGAAAAAAAUCAUUAUGGCUUUAAAGCAUGAGACUAUAAAAAGCUGCAACUAGUUUAGAUAUCAGUUAGAAGUUAAUUCUGAGUCACUGCAAUUGAAAACAUCAGUUUACAACAUUUACUGGGUUGCUAUAAAAAUGUAUUCCCCUGUGUUACGUUAAACGUGAGAAACUACACCUCAGUGUUUCCAUUAUUUAUAUAUUUAUUCAUAUCUUGCUGCUUCUGAUUCAGCUGUGUAACUGUAUGCAAAACAAAUAACUACUGGGGAACAGAAUAAUUUGUAUUUUGAGGGGAAUAAAUAUCCUGAAGGAUAUAUUUUUGUGGGUGUGGUGGCACCUAUAAAGAAUCACAUGGAUUUUGCAAACAAAAUAUGAGAGAGAAAAAGUGGGUGUAAGAACCUUGACAUUGGUCUGUUAUGGAAAGGACAUUUUUUGUUUGUUUGUUUGUUUUUUUAAAUCCUCAAACAAAUCCACAUCUUAAAACACAGCGUGAGCACCCUAGCAUAUUUUACAAAGGCCCUGAAAAAGAUUUAUUAUCAGUCCCAUACAAAUAGAAGGACAAUGGGCCAGAUCCUGGGGACUGCUCAUGCUGCACCCAUUACCGCUCUAGGGUAGGAGAAUUCGGGAUGGGGUAUAAAGGUAGCUAUAAGCCACCUAUACAUUGCCCUGAUCAGUUCCAGGAUUGUUAGGUAUUGGUCUGGUCUUCACUGCACGACAGAACAGAGAGACCUGCACUGCCCUACACCUGGGUGCCUACAGCCUCCAAGGACUGUUCCAGCAGCUAAGGAUUGGCUCAAAGUUGUGGCCCCCUGUUCUCGGAGUUAAAAGGAAUGGCAUAGAAAGUGGCCAGUGAAAGAUAUUUAUUUUUUAAAGGCUAUUCAUUGUCCAUCAAUCUUUCUAUUGAAGACUGGAGUUCAUGGCAACAAAAUAACACACUUUAUUUAAGAAACAUACACAGCAAAGUCAUACAUGUGUCUUUUGUGACCAGCCAUUUCUGGGAAACUGACAUUUUAUUCCUCCCCCUCCAGCAUCUGUAAAUUCAUGGAGUGCCCUGCAUUUGACUUCUUUUCUACUGUCUUUCACGUCCUCUACACAAAAGAUUCUCAUUUAAUGAAAACCAUGUCGCUAGUUCCUUUAGUGCGAUCCAGAGUUGCUCCUGAGUCACCUAGAACUGUAGCUUCUGCUGAUGUGAAGACUUUCCGCCCCACGGAUAACACGGCAUGAAUCCCUAUGUGCCCCAGAGCCUGAUUGGUGUGGAUCUCCCAGCACACAGAAAGGCAAGAAUUAAGAGAAAGACAGGAGGGUCCUCAGGCUCACCUGACUCGGCCUCCUGCAUGCUGUCUUACAGAUAUCCACCAUGGAGUUGAGCUUCCACCAUGUAAAAGAGAUGAAGAGCACACUUAGAAAACAUGGCACACAUAACAGCAGUAUGUGGAGGCAAUAGGAUUGCAUGACACACAUACAGCAGUAAACUCAGAUCCACCUGAAUGGGCUUUGAGCUGGAGUUUGGCAUUCUCAACCUGGGAUUCAGAUGUUGGCCCGAGAUUGGUGGCACAUUACCCUACACCUCUGACAAGGUUAGCAGGAUGUUCCAGGUAUGUUUAUGCUGCACAGCAUUGCCAUGAUCCUUGCCUGAGGGGAAAGACAUACAUGAAAUAAGGAGCCCUGAAAAGAAGAGGACAUAGAAGCUGUGAAGUUUAGGAGGACAUAAGCAUGCUGGACCAGGAAGAUAAUGGGGGAGCAAGGACACCAGCUAGCAUUCCCUGAGCCCCCUGAUUCUCAGAGACAGUCUGAUAGCCAAGAAUUUUGCCUUUGUUGGUGUGAGAGUCUUCCACUCUGUAACUCCUGCCUCAUGGUACAGCCUUACUGCUUCAUUUUCAAUCUCAGCUGAUACCGGAUCUGUUCUCCUGUGCCUCUGCCUCUUCUUCCCUCCCUCCCGCUGCUCUCUGUACAAUGUUUUGUGAUCCAGUUUGUAUGAAAACACUGGAUAAUAAAAAGUCCUAUAGUAUUAAUUUGGUGCAGCAAAUCCAAUAGUGUAUGUUACUUCAUCCUCUAAUCUUCUCUUAUCUAUGAUAAUGCAUAAGUUUAAUUUUCAUUAACUGCGGGGGGGGGGGGGGGUAGGGGUGGAGAGUGCUUCUUAAGCAGUUACUUCCUGGAGCUAAACUAUUAUCUUCCUUAAAUACAGCUGUUUAUAUUAUGCAUAACAUAAUUCCUGUCAUACAAAUAUAUUAUAACUCUUUGAAAUACUUUGUGCUCUCAAUUAGCAUAAGUUUCAGUUUAGCUUUUAUUAAAAAAAAAAUAGUGAAAAAGGCCCAGGGAACAGCACUUUCUAUCUCCCCUUAGUAGAACUGGCUCUGAAGUGACCUCUGGCUUUUUGGGAUGGAGCCAGCAGUGCUGCAGAGCUGGUACUUUCAACUGUAGGAGAAGAAAGUAAGUGUUAAGGGUAAUGGGUGGAGGCAAUAGGAUUUCACACAUCAGUGUCAUUACAGAUUUAGAGUCUCACUGUUCACAUUACAGUAGAGCCUCAUCUGAGAUCAGGGCCCCAUUGUGACAGUCCCUGCCCCAAAGAGCUUACACUCUAAAUAGACAAGAGAGAGAAAAGGUGGGAGGAGAAACAGGGACACAAAGAGGUGAAGUGACUUGCCCAAGUCACACAGCAAGUCAGAGCCCAGAUCUAUGAUUCAGUACAUUUGCAAUUUAUACUUAAGAGUUAAGUGCAUGUCUUUACAAAACAGGGUGCCAUUUCGAGGUGAGAUCUAAGGUGGCAUGAAUUGCACAUUGUGAAUGGGUAUACAGAAUAGAGCCCAGGUCUGCUGUGUCCUUUUUCUAGUGUCCUAUUCACUGGACCACGCUGCCUCUUUACCAGUCCUGAAGUAAUCCUUACUCAUAUAAGUAGUGCUAAUGAAGUCAGUGGGACCAGUUUCUGGAAUAAGAAUUACUGUAUGUGUAAGGUUUUGCAGUGUGAAGCCCUUAGAAGCGGCUUGCUGUCAUUUCAGUGACUGUUACUUUUUCUCUAAGGGAGGGCACAUGGAAUGAAUGAUGAGGUGACUGAAAGGCACAAUGGGGCUCCUUGGGAUCACUGAGGGAAGACCCACAUUUCAUUAUAAGAAUUCCUCUUCCAUGCACCUCAGCUUUCCUGAUAACUUAUUUAACAUGUAUAUCAUGGUAACAUCCAGCGGCUACAAUCUGGAUCAGGGCCCACUGUGCUAAACUCUUUACUAACAUAUGCAAAGAAACAGGGUUAAAUCCUGGCCCCAGUGAAGUCAAUUUCAAAAACCCUCUUGACUUCAAUGGGGACAGGAUUUCACCCAUGUCCCUAUCUUGAGUUUACAAACUAAGAAGACAAGUGACAUAUUAAAGGUGCAGAGGAGAGGGAUGCAGUCAAAUAUAUACAUUUGCUGAACAAGGACUAUAUAAGAGUUAGGUAUUAAUAUUGUUUAUUAUUGCUAUUUUCAAGGAGUACUUGGUCCUGCCUCAGUGCAGGGGGCUGGAUUAGAUGACCUCUUGAGGUCCCUUCCAGGCCUAUGUUUCUAUGAUUCUAUUAUUCUACAUGAUUUACAAUUCUUACAAUUAUACUGAAGUUAAGUCUACGUCUUUACAAAACGGGUGCCCUUCAGAGGUGAUAGGAAAGGUGAUGUGAAUUGCACGUCAUAAGGUUUGGUUUAUAUCAAUUUAGACUCCCUGGGCCAAAGUAAUCCCUUGUUUGUCUUAAGUCACUCUGUUGAAGUCAGUUGAAUCAAACUAGGGAUGACUUUGGCCCAGGGAAUCUAAUCUGCUGUAAACCACCUGCUGAGGGGCCAGAUGAAAAAGGUGCAGUAGGAAAAGUAACUGAGAGGUGUAAGGAGGUGUAAAUAAAAAGCUGGUCUUCCGUUGCCUACUUUAACUUGUACCUUUUUUAGGCCCCUCAGUAUGUAAGCAACACAAAUUCUCUUGCACUCACAUACGCUUACAGGUGCUUUUGCAAUACCUUCAAAUCACCUCUGAAUUUGACCUCCCCCGCCCGAUGUUGUACAUAAACCCAUUUAUGUGACUCUCUGUGGAUGACACAAAGUCAAUUUGAUUAGUUUACAUUGUAGUUGUAUAGGGUAGGUCAUAGUUAGCUUGCUUUGAUUCAUGUUUAAUUUUAAAAUCUACCUUUAACAACUCAAAAGAGUAACACACAGCACUUAUAAAGUGCUUCACAUCUUAAAAAUGCUGCAUCAGUAUUAACAACUAACGAAUUAGCAAUGAAUUAGCUCAAUUGUUUUCAUGUAUAUGGUUUCAUAAAUAACUUUCUAAAAGGGUUGUGACAUACUUGUACCAUUAUUUUCUAUGAUAGCUGGAAAAAAAAUUCCUGGAAACAUAUGUUUAUUUUUUUCCCUGCUUCUGACCACUCUGUUUGGAAAAACUGCCAAGUUUGACUCUAAACUUGCAAAUACAGUAACUUUCUUCUUUGAAAAUUUGAGUCUAUAACCUCCGGAGCAGUUUUUGGUAGAAAGGAUUGUUAUGUUACUGACUCUUAUGAUCAAUUUCAUUUUCUUAAAUUGAUUUCAUACACAAGGUUAACAGAGAAGGUCCAAACAAAUGAAUACAUGUGCAUUUAUCUGACAGUAUUUCAUAUACAAAUAAUGAAAGCAGUACAUUAUCAAUUCUCCUUAGUAAGAAGUAUUCUUCAUGUUUUUAUAAAAAGUACUUAAGAGCUGACUUUGAAGAAAGACUUUGAAAACUUGCCAAACCUUCUUUGUAUUUUGAAAGUCCACAUCAAGAAAGUAGUAAAUAGUAAUUGAGUGUAGGAAAAAGGAAACUAUUAGUAUUGUUUUCUUUUAAAGAUAAAAAGAAAAAUGCAGUGCAAAACUUCAUAAUCUCUGAAAUGUGUAUUUGUUAUUUGAAUCAAUUUAAAACAAUUGUCACUAUUAACUUCAUGUUAGCUUGCCUACUGAACUGUACAAAAUAGCUCUGUAUCUGCUGGUUUCAUGUAUGUGAGGUUUUUUUUCCCCCCUCACUCUUUGGAGUUUUACAGUUUUAAAUUAUUUCCAUUAAUUGCAGAGUUAAAGCUAUGCUAAGACUGUGCUUAAAAAAGUCCAGGAUUGUUCAAACCUAUAUUCAUUUUUCUAAUUUAAGGACAUCUAUGCUUGAUUUCCAUAAACCAACAGUUCUUCAAUACUCCUUUCUUGACACCCCAUUUUUAUUUAACUAAACUAAAAUAUCCCUACUUUUUGCUUAAUUUGUAGACAGAUCCUGGGCCAAAUUCUUUGCUGGAGUAAAUUAGUGCAGCACCUAUUCAAGUCACCACUCGAUACCAGCAGAAAAUGUGGUCAUGUGACUUCCCUAGAAGUUAUUUUUAAUAAACAUUUUGAUAUUUGUUUAGUGUGAAAAUGCUCAAAUGGAGAUCAACUGUGUGCUUGGAAGGAACUACAGUGAACCCUCCCUAUAUACUGCAAAGGUUACAAGCUAUCUCUCAUGCUUGCAUUGGUUACAGGAAUUUAUAUUGUGUAAUUAUAUGUAAUCAAGUGGUUAACUUGUCUUUUAUCACUGAUAAUGCAGGUUGUACUUAUGCAUAUAUUAAUUGCAAUGCCAUUAAGCUGUCCCAUGUGUGAGGUAGUAUUAUGAGGAACUGCCUGUUCACUUUAACUUUAAGUUCAAUACAUGUUCAGCUGAAAAGGAAUCUACAGUGUAUUUAAACUGUGAGAAACCGACGAGUUCACUGGAAUUCUGGGUGUGAUGUAAUGUAUAGCUGCCAUUUAAAAAUGGAACAUUUGCCAACAAUUUCCACACGGGUGUUCAGAGAUUAUUCUGAUGGACAUGAUAUAAGAACCAAGAGAGGGAGAUGGAUAGGUAGACACAGAGGUGCAUACAAAACUGAUUAUAAAUGUUGAUUUUUUUAAUGGGGACCACUGUAUUAUUCUAUAUAGAGAAAAUAUAUAUUUGUGUAUAGAAUGAAGGUGGGAUUGCAUCACAGGUUUUACUGGAAUGAGUUUGAGUGACUACAUUUCUUAGGAGUUGAAGAAAGAUGCUGGAUUUUCAGAGUUUGCAAAGACCCUUUCAGGCUUACCAGUGCAUCAUCUCUUGUCUCCAUCUUAUUUUCACACAUGUUGGCUCCGGACAUCUCCUGCUUUUACUAUUUUCAAAAAGUUUGUAUUUAAUUUUAUAAUACUCAAGAAAACAUGACACAGAUAAAACUGUGAUAUACAAUAUAUGAAUAGAAAUAUAAUGCAAACAUAUAUGAAAAUGCUAUCAUACUGUCUGUACCUCCAUUUGUCCAUUGGUAAAAUGGAUUUAAUGAUGCAUACCUAAAAGGUGAGUUACGAGGCUUAAGUCAGAUCAUACCUUCCUGCCAAAAUAUUUGUGGGAUGUUGACAAGAUGACCAGCAAACUCUGGGGAUUAUGGGGAGAGGGUUUAACCAAAUCUUCCACUCAGUGGAGAGGCUUAGUUGUCCUAUGGGUAGGGCAAGAGAAUAUAGUCUCACAACUCUGUACAUCUGUGGGGAAGUGAAUGCCUAGUUGUGCAAAGGGGCAUUCAUUUUACUUUGCUACACUGGCUUCAACUUUGUUGGCAGAGCAAUUCCUUUGGGUGUGGCAUUGUCAUAGGCAAUAGGGAGGGAUGCAAAGGGAAUUAAGGAUGCAUCCAGUGAGAGCUGUUCUUCCCCAUCACCUACUCCCAUACCCCAAAUCCUGUGCUGGAAGACUCUGAAGUAGAGUAACUUCCUUAGGAUCAUAGAGCAUUUGGGGGAUGGUGCCACAGAGCUGGAACUCUUCACACCCCUAUACUUCAGUGACAGCUUUAUUGGACCAUGCUCCUCUAUGCUUACAGAAGCAGAGGAGACAAUCAAGGCCUUAUUUACUUAAUGUUUGUAAAGUGCCAUGAGACCCUCAGAUGCAUGUUACCAGCAUCUCAUUAUUAUUACUCACUAAAGAAAAAAAAAUCUUGCUAAUAUGAAUGUUUCAGUAAAAAUACACUGAUUUUUCAGAUUUUCCUUCUCAGUUUGACAACAAAAUUUUUACACUUACAGAAGAAGUGAGAUUUUAGAAGGGCCUUCUUCUGAUACCCAACACCAUGCAGGACACAGGUGAUGCAGAAUUUCUCCUUUUCUCUUUAUGGUGAGGAUGUACCCAAAUAACUCUGCAAAAUCACUAGCAUAGAAGCUAUGAGUGUCCACCAAAAAGAAAAUACAUCCUCAUAUAGGGUGAAAUCCUGGUCCUACCCAAGUCAAUGAGAGUUUUGCCAUGGCUUUCAAUGGGGCCAGGAUUUCACCCAUGAUAUUUCAGAAUUGAUGUAGCUCCAUGGAGUUGAGUAGGAACAUUUUAUAAAGUGGUGCUCUUUAAAAUUUGAUUUUUAAAAUUUAAAAAUGUAAAAGACAAUGGUCCAUGGUCAUCCCUGGUGAAGCUCCAUCAAAAACAGUUGCAUUCCAUCAGGGAUGAAUUUGGACCUGUUUGUUUAUUUAGAGGUUGUUUAAAUGUUCUUUACCCUUCUCAACUACAAAAGUAUACUGCUUUAUUCCUGACAGUGUUGUAGUUCUUAUAGGGAAGCAGAAUUUCAUCAAGUUAAACUUUUCUGUUUGCAAGGUUAAAAGAGGAGGCAGAAGGCCAGAUUCACCUCUGUUAUGCCAGUGACAUAAAAAAAGUUAGUUUGGCUUUACACUGGUGUAAUCAAAGGCAGAAUUUGUCUUACAGAUUUUUCAUACAUAAAGUUCACUUUGCUAAUUCUCAAUAUGUAAAGCCACAUUUAGAACUGAGCCACGCUUUACCUAGCCAUAAUGGAUUGGAGUGGUGCCUUGUGGAUUAUCCAUAUUAUCUAUGAUAUCUCCAUUCUAAGUGACUACUACUGAUUAGUACAUAAAAUAAAUUGCUUUUAUUAUUUCUUCUACUGCAUAUCUGACUGUUGUUGCACCACAUUCCUAAGCAGACAUCCAAAUUUACCUUAUUAAGCAAUGAUGCAAAUAAUACAAUCCUAAGUGUGUUUUUGUUUUGUUUUUUGUCAUAAUGAUGACCUCAACUGUGCAUUCCUUGUUCACAGAAUGAAUUAAUUUUCAGUGUGCAAGGAAUGCUGGUUUGGGCCCUAUAUCUUUGGGAAAUACUAUUCUGGAAAGAUGCAGUUAUCCUAUGUGUUGUUAUGAUAGCGAGUCUGAGUGGAACUCCCUGUCUCUCUGCAUUAUUCUGUUUUACCUUAGGUCACUGUAGCUGAGUGGUUGAUGAAAUAUGAUUUGAAACUGUUCCUUAAAGCCUGCUGCAAGGGGGCCCCACCCCAUCCUUCCCUUAUUUAAAACAUUCCUAAAGCCAUUUUCCAAUGAAAUCCCACUCAAGUGGACUGACUCACAUCAGAAGACAUUCCAGAAAGAAGAAUAAUUACACCAUUGCUGGAAUUGAUGUAAUGGUGUUUUUCAGGAUACUUUAAUAGACAUGAGUGAUGUUUUGGCAGGCAGUUGAAAUAACCCUAGAUAUCUGAUUGCAUUACUGACUACAACCAAAGGGCAUCUCUGGGGAAAGAGCAUUACUUGAGGUACUUUCUUCAUAUUUGUAACUUGCUGUAGUUAUCUUUUAACACAACACAGGAUUUUUUUUUUUUAAAAGACAGACCUAUGGAGAGUUUAAUGGAGAAGUAGAACAAAAUGUAUUUACGAACUGAAUUCUAAACAUACACAGAUUCCAAGAGACAGGCUUAUGUAAACAUCAACAUAAUUCUCUGGGUUAUGUGCUGUUUAAAAUAACAUUAAGUUAUGGAUUUAGCCCAAAAGGUUGUCACUUAACAGCAGCAUUUCUUUUGUAAUCUGUAUGGUUUGGAUUUAUUGUAAUUUUAAUUUGAUCUUUAAAAGGUAAUGGAAAUGGUUCUUCCCCCUUCUGUGGAAUAUUCUGAACAUUGCAUUCAUUGCUCUCAGCUAUUUAAUUGAACUUUGGUACAAUUUAACACUUGUACUUCUCGUAUAUGUAGUUUUGGGGCUGGAUGUUGAUUAGCUGUAAUGUAGACGAGAGGAGGGUUGGCAGGCAGUAAGGCCCACGACGCCUGCGAAGCUGCACUAGAAUGACAUGUACUGUGACUCUGCAAGAGAGUAGCACCAGGGCAAGUGAAGAGGCAGGGAAUGUGGGGAGCCAGGAUAAGCUGGUCAGAAGAGAUGACUGCACACAAGUGAGUUAGGGAAGCUAAUGGCCUUAUUUUCAAGGCUGUAAUAAGUUAUUUCCCUUCUCCCACUCCUGGAGCAAGAAGGGAGGAACUGUGAGUCAAUUCCUUCCCAGGGCUAUUUCUGAGGUAGUGCAGCUAAGUGCCACCCGAUACUCCAGGCUGUCCCUAAAAGGCCUAAUGUUAUCCUAAUUUAUUAAGAAUCUGUCUCUCUCUCAUAGAAAUACGUUUAUUCUUUCUCUCUCUCUCUCUGUAUGUGUUUUAAUACCAUACUUAUCACUAUGGUAUUCUUAUUAUUAAAGGUAGUAAACACACUGGACCAAAGUGUGCCCUUGUUUAACAUCUACACCGUCCCACUGAGAGCUCAAUCAUUGCCUUCACAUCUAAGCUAUAUAUUAAAAAAAAAAAAUCUGAGCAUUGAUGUUCCUGUUUUUAUUUCUCAAAGCCUAGUCAUUUAGCUACUUUCCUCAGGUAAACAGGUCUUUUUCUUGGUCUGGCAUGCUGAUAAGCCUUCACACUUGGCUGGGCCUGAGGUGCGUUUGUGCAAAGCCAGAUUGUUUUAGUUAACAUAAUCAGUGAACUCACUGUUCUACCUGGAUGUCUGGGAGAAUUGCCAAGAGAUUUCCCAACAUUUCAAUCAGAGACAUAGGCUAUAAAGCUGUCAGUUUUCUUGUAGGCCAAUUUGCCUUUGCCAUGGUUCUAACAUUCUAUUCAUUUAUAAAGGAAUCAGUCCAGGUCUUUUGGGGUAAUAUUUUAUGCUGGUUUCAAUUUGAAGAAUGAUUCUUUCUUUCUUAAAGAUACAUUUUAAAAGAGCAUUUCCUGACACAGGAAAAAAAAUUCACACUAUGAUUUUGACGCAAUAGAAAAAAAGAGAGCUUCCAUUAUUAUUAUUAUUUAUUAUUAUUUGCAGUGCUUGAGCCUGGCUCUCUUCAUAUAUUGCCCCAAUCUCAAGUGGCUCUCUUCUUAAACAAAGAAAUUGAGCUAUUCAGGUCAAAUAUUCAAGGAUAAUAUUGGUCUGAGAAGUAAUUACAAUCAGAGAUAUGUUAAACUACCUGAAAAUAAUUCACUUUCACAGUAAAAAAUAUACCUACAAGUCUAUGGGUUGUGGGUCAUUGUCAUCCACCCUCUUCCCAUUUGCUUUAAUAAAUUUUGGUGAAAUAGCUACUACUGAGUACUGAAUUUAAAAGAUUUGUUUUCCCAAGCAUUCCAUAUUCACCACGUUGUGCCAGAUUACAUCAUGUAACCUCCAACUAUGUCAUGUCACUUUUUUCAGAUGACUUGAUGCAGUGGGACGUAGUAUCACAUCCACUUGACAUUUCUUUAAUAGUCUUCAUGGGAAGUUUUCAAUAUUUGGUUCCUUGGAUAUUUUUCAAAUGUAUCAGCUUGGUAUUUUUAUGACUUGACCGGGCAAUGAAAAGUGUAGAUGAUUCAUAUUGUUCAACAAUACUUCAAAUUGCAUUGAACAGAUGAAAUAUGUGAUGGAAGUGGAGAAAGAAUGUAGAGUACGGAAGCAUAGCACUCAGUAAGCCUGCAGGAGAGGUAAGCAGAACCAUCAAAUAUAGUUUGUAGGAGUUCUCCUGCUAUUUAAUGAUUUUGAAGUUUUUUAGGCCUGCAGGUCAACAUCCCAAGAAGAUGUCGGUGCAACUAAGAAGGAAGAUCAAGAACCUGGAAGAUAGGGAGAGACAGGUUCUCUGGAAGGGAAAGCUGGAAAUGAAGCAGGUUAAGAGCUUCACCUGUCACAGAAAAAUUACACUUGCAAUAAGGCAGAUGUCAAAAGGACAGUAUUAGCUUGGAAGACUUCAAAACAGGUGUUUGGAAGAAGGAGGGAAUCUCAUUCAUAACCUAAACUGAAAAUAUUCAACAUAAACAGCAACUUACUUGCAUCAAGACUAUAUCAAGGCUUGACAAGUUCACCUGUCUGGUGCCUCAUGCAGCUGAUUUAUCUGCCUGGACAGGUGGAAAACUGCCUAGACUUAUCCGUGAGUAAAGUGGAGUUGUUAGUGCAGUGCCAUUGAGGAAGUGCUUUCUCUCACUGCAACAGUCGGAGUAUGCAUGUUACAGUGCUACAAAUUAGCAGACCGCUUUAAAACAGUUCCCAAGCAUUGAAAUUAGAAAUGCUUAAUGCAGAAUUCAUAUUUUCUAGCUCAGGCACAACGGGACUCUGGUGAAUUUAAUUUUUAUUGCUUUCAUGUUUUAAGUCAUUUGUCUUUUGGAAGCAAUCAUGGGAGCUGCAUUACAGCAGGACAUAUGAAGAUUCUUGUUUGCAUCUUGUAAUCCUGAUGAUAUUAAUUCUUUACUACAAGCAAAUGCCACCUGGAAAAUAAAAUUCUGUUCUUCCACUCGUACUCAUGUUGCACAAUACUCCCACUGAAGUAAAUGGAUCUCUCUAUAGAGUAACAGUCUAUUCAAUGUGAUAAGAGUAGCAGAAUCCGCUUCACAGCCAUUUGGAUUCUGGAGAAAAUAGUUUCUAUCACAGAAUUAAGUGGAUACAGAAAUAUCCAAGGUCAUAUCCUUAGGUAUUAACUGGUGUAGCUCUACUGACUACAAUUAAAGUAUGUUGAUUUAUACCAGCUAAGGAUCUGGCCCAUAAACAUUUAAACGAGUGUUGUAAUUUUUGGAAAAUAUCAUCAGUCUCAGUAAAGAGUUACGUGAUGUUAUAUUAUUUAAAAUCGUGUACUAAAACCAAUGUUUUUUAUAGUUAUGUCAAUCUUCCCCCAUCUAAAAUGUGCCAGAAUCUACCGUUACCAAAAUUUACCAUGGUGCCAUGUACUGUAUGUAAGAAAUCAGAGACCAUGACUGCCAUGCUCAUUACUGUUUCAUUGCUUGAUGAUUGGGAAAUCUUUUUUCUGUCAUUGUCUGAUUUUUAUAUUGUCCGCAACAAGGCAAGGUCUUUGAUGUUUUGUAACAUUCUUCAGCAUCACUAGAAAACAACUUGUUUUCUUAAUUUUCAGUGGUUUAUAACUGACUAUAGAAGAUCUUUUGGAUUUAACCCCUAGUCACAUAUAAAAUAUUAAAUAUGGCCAUUCUGAACCAGUAUGGGUUUUAGCCCUGAUGUCUCUGGCAAAUUCUAAUUUGGGUAAUUAAAUCCUGCCUACAUAAAUUCCCAAUGCAAUUUUAAUUGGAUACAGGAUUUUCCAUUUCUAGUGCUAAAUAAUUGUGCAGUAUUGAUGUAUGCUGUUAAACAGCUGAUAUGUUCUUUUCCAGAGGUCGCUGAAUUUCAUUGGUAAGUGAAACCACCCCUGUAUGUAUAAAGACACAAAUCUUGAGAAAUGCUGGAUGGUCUUAGGAUCAGGCACAAAGUUUGCCAAAUGUUUUUGGCAUUGAGAUGAAUGGUACUGUAGAAGUGUAAAAUAUCAUUUGUUAUUUCUAAUCAAGUUAUUCCAAAUCUUCAAAGCUGUAGCCACACUAAUGAAUCACAAAAAAACAAAAUAGAUCUUUAUACAGUAUAACUUAUUAGGUGACUACAGGGGUUGGACUGAGUGAUCUGAGAGAGAAAGUUAGGCAAACAUGGUUGUCCAGAUAUUGGUAAGGAACUAUUAUGUCAUCCGAACAACCCCCUCCCCCCCCACCGUGGAUGGUAUUGACUUGGGAAAAAACAACCAAAGUGAUAAGGGAUUUAUACUAUUUGUGGAAGCAAUACACUUACUUAUUUUAAGAGAUAUAAAACAUUGUCUCUUUUGCCCCCUUUGGCUGAUGGAAGCGGGGCAGACCUGUUAUCAGAUAAAAUGUAUUGCAUUAUUUGUGGUAUCCUGCAGAGAUUUUUUCAUGAUUUUCUGUGGGACCGCAGAGACAACUUGGAGGGAAAAUCACUACACUUUUGAUACAUUUGCCAUAUUUUUCAGCCGAGGGUGUAGUCCUAGCUGAAUGACUUUGUACAUAAUGGUCACUCACCCGUCAUCCUAUUUAACAGAUUCACUCAACAACAUUUAAAUGCUGAAGGCAUUUAACCAGCCAUAGUGAAAUCUGUUGUGGAUAUGUAGCUUUUUAUGGGCAACCUUAGUGAUCGUGCUAGCCCCAGGUCCUGUGAUGGAUUCUGUACUCUGACAGUUUUGAUGGAAAAUGUUUUACAGGGAAAGAUGUUUGGCAUGGAGUGGCUGCAGUAUUAAAUGAAGCUCAUUGAGUCACCCCUUGCUUGUGUGACGUAUCAGAUUGUAUUAACCUGGCUCCACAAAGGGAAAAAAAUCAAUAUGUAUGCAAAUUUGACAAAGUUUUAAAAGCUAUGUUUAGUCUUUACUGUUACCAUGACAAAAGAUGUCUCCCCAGCUGUGAGAGGCCUAUUUACUAGAAGUUGACCUUGCUCAUGUCCGUGGGGUAGAUGGAUCAGUUGGCUUGCCAGAAGAUCAGCAGAAGUAAAACUAGUGUUAAUCAUUUACUAAUGAUCGUCUUCUAUUUUGAGAGCCGUCACAUUUUCUUUUCUCAUAAAAAAUGAUGCUAAAUUAAUAGGCUACCCAAAACAUUUGAAAUCUCACAGAUUAUUUAAACAUUUACAAUGGACUACAUACCAUGAGUGACAUUCAUACCUGUACAUAGAGACUGCACACCACUUAAGUCUUCAGAGUAUACAGUCAAUAUUUUCAUGAGAAUCAAUAUUUACCUAACAUACCAGAUUUCAGUCAAGUGGGUUUUUCAAGUUUCUGGAUUCCACAAUCCUAGAAUUUAGAACUAUACUGAAGGAGCAGCCAUAAAAUAAUAUUAAAAGGUUGCAUGGCAGACCCCAUCAAGAUGUUUCUUCAGGGAUAAUGUGCCCUAGUUGAUAUCAAACCCAAAAUUUAGUUCAUGAGGGUCAUUGCUGGCACUAAGAAAUAUUUAGGAAAGUGAUCUUGAAAUGUUAGCAUCCUCAGAAGUCAUUUGAGUUUGGUUGUCCCUUAGCAAGGUUCUCUCAGUCUAGAUUUUUUUUCAGAUUCUUUUCUGAAGAUAUAAACAGCGGAUUCAAUAUGAUUACAAGGGCCUCAAAAUGUAUCUGGAAAAAAAAGGAUACAUAAUGUAUUUUCACUGAAUCAGCCUCAAUAUUGUCCACAUUCGUAUCCAUCACUCAUCAAAGAAUUAGUAUUAUCCUUGAAUCCCUAUUUUGUAAAGUAUGUCUGUAAAGUACUUACUCCGUUUUCACUAUCAAAACUGAAAAGAGAACAGGCAUAAUGUUGGAACUAGAGAGAAUAAUGAUUCUAUUAGGUUUGGGAUUUCAAUUUAACCCUAACAAGGCUAGAGAAGUUUGGCUUAACACAGCAACAGGGUUAGAUGCAUGAUAUAUUUAGGACACAGCUUCAAAAUAGAGGUCUCUCCAGUUGCCUAAUUAGACAAUGUGUGCGUGUGUAGAUAUGGGAGUGGAGAGGGGUGUGUCUGUGGGUGGCUGGCUGUGUGAGCUGGUUUUCAGCAGAGUAAAACUAAAAGAUGUUAACUGUUAAUGGAAUUGGUAUCUCUUCCAUACAAAUCUGCUAACUCUGGCAUAGGGAUGUGGAAACCUGGCACACACUAAAAGUAUGAGAGGAAUUUUGGAUUGGUUUGAAAACAAAUGCCUGAGGAGGCUCGUGAAGAUCAUAUGGAUGGACAGUAAGGAUUUAAACCAUUUAGGAGAUGAGCAGGUAGAGAUAGUAGGCAGAGGUGGUGCAGAAUAGGAAACUCCACUAGUCAGGGUAGCAGACUGUUAAGAUAAGUAAAGAAGUAGCCCUUCAAGUAUGGAAGGGACCAUGUCUGUUGGAGAGAUUUAGGGCCUGAUAAAGCAAAGAACUUACACAUACUUAACUUUAAGCAUGUACAGAACUUAAGUCCUAUUAAAAUCUACAUAAAUAUCUGC